UACAGAGGGUGCGAGCGUUAAUCGGAAUUACUGAGCGUAAAGCGUGCGUAGGUGGUUCGUUAAGUCUGAUGUGAAAGCCCUGGGCUCAACCUGGGAAUGGCAUUGGAAACUGGCGACCUAGAGUGCGGUAGAGGGUAGUGGAAUUCCCGGUGUAGCAGUGAAAUGCGUAGAGAUCGGGAGGAACAUCUGUGGCGAAGGCGACUGCCUGGACCAGCACUGACACUGAGGCACGAAAGCGUGGGGAGCAAACAGG
rnacentral:rRNA from 1 species